rnacentral:rRNA from 1 species
AUUGAACGCUGGCGGCAGGCCUAACACAUGCAAGUCGAGCGGAUGAAGGGAGCUUGCUCCUGGAUUCAGCGGCGGACGGGUGAGUAAUGCCUAGGAAUCUGCCUGGUAGUGGGGGAUAACGUCCGGAAACGGGCGCUAAUACCGCAUACGUCCUGAGGGAGAAAGUGGGGGAUCUUCGGACCUCACGCUAUCAGAUGAGCCUAGGUCGGAUUAGCUAGUUGGUGGGGUAAAGGCCUACCAAGGCGACGAUCCGUAACUGGUCUGAGAGGAUGAUCAGUCACACUGGAACUGAGACACGGUCCAGACUCCUACGGGAGGCAGCAGUGGGGAAUAUUGGACAGUGGGCGAAAGCCGAUCCAGCCAUGCCGCGUGUGUGAAGAAGGUCUUCGGAUUGUAAAGCACUUUAAGUUGGGAGGAAGGGCAGUAAGUUAAUACCUUGCUGUUUUGACGUUACCAACAGAAUAAGCACCGGCUAACUUCGUG